rnacentral:rRNA from 1 species
AACGAACGCUGGCGGCGUGCUUAACACAUGCAAGUCGAACGAAGUGGCGGACGGGUGAGUAACGCGUAAUCAACCUGCCCUUCAGGGGGGGAUAACAGUUGGAAACGACUGCUAAUACCGCAUACUGAAGGAGGGGCUUGCGGCGGAUUAGCUCGUUGGGGGGGUAACGGCCCACCAAGGCGAGGGUCAGCAGCCGGUCCGGGAGGAUGAACGGCCACAUUGGGACUGGGACCAGGGCCAGACUUCUACGGGAGGCAGCAGGGGGGGAUCUUCCGAAAUGGAGGAAAGUCUGACGGAGCAACGGCGCGUGAGUGAUGACGGCCUUCGGGUUGGAAAGCUCUGUUAAUCGGGACGCGGUACCGGAAUAGAAAGCCACGGCUAACUACGUGCCAGCAGCCGCGGUAAUUC